CACUACUUGUAAGAACAGUGAUGAAGUUGAUGGGAGGCCAGGUUCUGGGGCACUCUUCGUGAAGGUCAGUAUGGAUGGUGCUCCUUAUCUGAGGAAAGUUGACCUGAGGAGCUACGCUAACUACGGGGAGCUUUCUUCAGCCUUGGAGAAAAUGUUCACCACUUUCACUCUAGGUGAGAUGUUUCAGUGAUUGCUAGUGAUGUGUUUGCAAACCUCUUUCUCUUUAUGGAUCAAUGAAUGAGUGCAAUCAAAGUGGUUAACCUGCACUGUUUGUUUCAUGUUUAGGUCAAUGUGGAUCUAAUGGAGCUGCUGGGAAGGAUAUGCUUAGUGAGACCAAGCUUAAGGAUCUUUUGAAUGGAAAAGACUAUGUGCUCACUUAUGAGGAUAAGGAUGGGGACUGGAUGCUUGUUGGAGAUGUUCCAUGGGAGUAAGCUUCCUCUCUUAUAUUCAAAACUUGUUAGAAGCUUUCUCUACUCUCUGCCAGAUAUCUUAGAAUCAAAUCUAACAUGCUAUAGAAGAUUAGAUCAUGGUGAUUGGUAUAAGCGCUCCUGAGUGAUUUCUGAUCCGAUGUAUAUUACAGGAUGUUUAUUGAUGUCUGCAAGAAGCUGAAGAUAAUGAAAGGAUGUGAUGCUAUUGGGUUAGGUAAAGUCUUUUCUUCUCUCUGCUCCUAAGAUACAACGUAAACUACUAUCUCUAAAACCCAUUGCAAGUAGGUUUAUGAUGAGAUUAGUGGUUUGUUGGUGUGAGUUACUUGUAGCUGAUUUAGAAAGUUCAAUUCAUAUUUGAUCACUUGUCUUCUUUUGGGAGUAAAGACGAUAAAUUAACAUGUAAAUAUAACGUAAUUAAACUGACAUAAAUAAUAGUCGUUAUUAGGAGUUUGGUAUGGACUUUGAAUCUAAAAUGUCUUAAUGAUUCAAUGUGGUGAACUGGUGAUAUUGCAGCUGCAGCUCCGAGAGCAAUGGAGAAAUCGAAGAUGAGAGCUUAAAAGAUGGAACAUGACAAAGCUUUCUAAUUAUACAAAAUAUGUGCGAUCUUUUGGUGGUGUUUUUAAUUCAAAACAUCAAUAACUUUAGUUUCUGAGAUUUUAAAAAGAAGUAAGACUACGAAUGUAAGGAAAUGAAGAAGAAUUAAAAAUGAUCUAUUUUUGUUGUUGUUUGUUGCUUUAGUCGAACCAGUAAACUGGUCGUUGUUUUAUGUUUUGGGUUUGAUUUGGAUGUGUGGUUGACUUCUAUCUUUGAGAUAUUAUUUGAUGUAACUCUCUUUUUUUUUUAAAAUGUAAAUUAAUUUGUGAUUUUUUAACAUGGAGUAGUGUUUGAUGCAUUUGUGAAUUCUUAUACAAAAUUUUAGAAACCUAUAUAAUAUAACAAGAAAGAAAAAAAGAGAAAAAAAAAAAAAGAGAAAAAAAGAAACAAAUCAAUAUACCCUAUUCUUAAUUAGUUCAUUGCUAAUCUAAUAGACAUGAUCUACACGCAAACAUUGUGACUGAUGAUAGUGUAGAUGAUCUACGCGAGGAUAGAAUCGGAAUUUAAUAUUUGCAGACAACCAUCCCCUUUCGGGUGGAGCCAGAAAGUGGAAUUUUUAUUUAAAGAUCCGACUCCCGACAACUAUAUAUCAACGGUUCAUAUCCGCUGAUUUAAAUCGGACGGUUCAUAAUUAUUAACAUGAUCAAAUCUGAGCCGUUGGAUUAGAAUCCGUUCCUAAACAAAAAUACGCAACUUUCUCCACUUAUUUACUAUUCUGCCACUUUCUUUAAUUUAAUUUUUAAUCUCGGCUACGAGUUUCUGGGUGAUGAUAAUUAAGCUUUUUUUCUUUCUGCUUUGCUUUAAUGGAAGGACCUUGACACUUCUCUCUCUCUCUUUCUCUUUCUCUUUGCUAUUCAUCUUCUACAGUUUCGUAAAAAAUAUUCUCUUCUUCUCCAAAAUAUCUGUUACUCUAAUUUUUGAUCGUCUUCUUCUUUGUCUUGAGCUUCCAUUUUUCCAUCAACGAUUUGUUUUUCCCUUGAGGUAACUUUUUCUUCUCUGUUCUUUCUAAUCUGGUAAUUUUGAGCUUGAUGAUGUUUGUGUGUGAAUAUGUGUGUUAGUAGUUACUAGAUCUACGUUGUUUUGAAAAAAAUUUAGUAGAUCUACGAGCUAUUGAGUUUCUUCUUCGAUUUUUUUCACUCUAUAGCGACAUCUUGGUUUCUGUGAGCUGUUGGCUAGGUUUAGUAUUACUAUUAAACCAGUUCUGGUUUUGGCUUAUUUAGGAUACAAAUAAACCCGGUUAAAUGCAAUCUACUCUAGAAUUCUGAUUUAUAUGGUUUAGAUAUUGAAUUUUGGUUGAAAGUGGUGUGAGUUAGAUCCCCNNNNNNNNNNNNNNNNNNNNNNNNNNNNNNNNNNNNNNNNNNNNNNNNNNNNNNNNNNNNNNNNNNNNNNNNNNNNNNNNNNNNNNNNNNNNNNNNNNNNUAUUCACUUUCAACCAAAAUUCAAUAUCUAAACCAUAUAAAUCAGAAGUCUAGAGUAGAUUGCAUUUAACCGGUUUAUUUGUAUCCUAAAUAAGCCAAAACCAGAACUGGUUUAAUAGUAAUACUAAACCUAGCCAACAGCUCACAGAAACCAAGAUGUCGCUAUAGAGUGAAAAAAAUCGAAGAAGAAACUCAAUAGCUCGUAGAUCUACUAAAUUUUUUUCAAAACAACGUAGAUCUAGUAACUACUAACACACAUCUUCACACACAAACAUCAUCAAGCUCAAAUAACCGGAUUUGAAACAUGUAUAAGAAGAACAGAGAAGAAAUAGUUACCUCAAGAGGGAAAAACAAAUUGUGGAUGAAAAAUUGAAGCUCAAGAAGACGAGAGUAUCGGAUAUUUUGGAGAAUAAGUUUACGAAACUGUAAAAGAUGAAUAGCAAGCUCGAUGUCGAAGCCUCUAACAAGUUUACGAAGCCUCUAACAUGUUAGAUUUGGUUGAAAGUGAAUACGUGACUCUUUCGCUUGUUGGAGAUGUUCCAUGGGAGUAAGCUUCCUCUCUUAGAUUCAAAACUUGUUAGAAGCUUUCUCUACUCUCUGCCAGAUAUCUUAGAAUCAAAUCUAACAUGCUAUAGAAGAUUAAAUCAUGGUGAUUGGUAUAAGCGCUCCUGAGUGAUUUCUGAUCCAAUGUAUAUUACAGGAUGUUUAUUGAUGUCUGCAAGAAGCUGAAGAUAAUGAAAGGAUGUGAUGCUAUUGGGUUAGGUAAAGUCGGUAAAGUCUUUUCUUCUCUCUGCUCCUAAGAGACAGACCAUGGCCGAGCCAAAACCGAAGCUUCAUGUUGCAGUGUUCUCAUGGUUAGCUUUUUGGAUUCUGGAAUUUUCAGGGCACAAAUUGUGGGUUGGCCUCCUGUGAGAUCCUAUAGGAAGAACACAUUGGCCACCACUUGUAAGAAUAGUGAUGAAGUUGAUGGGAGGCCAGGUCCUGGGACCAUGUUCGUAAAGGUCAGUAUGGAUGGUGCUCCUUGUCUGAGGAAAGUUGACCUGAGGAGCUACGCUAACUACGGGGAGCUUUCUUCAGCCUUGGAGAAAAUGUUCACCACUCUCACUCUAGGUGAGAUGUUUCAGUGAUUGCUAGUGAUGUGUUUGCAAAGCUCUUUCUCUUUAUGGAUCAAUGAAUGAGUGCAAUCAAAGUGGUUAACCUGCACUGUUUGUUUCAUGUUUAGGUCAAUGUGGAUCUAAUGGAGCUGCUGGGAAGGAUAUGCUUAGUGAGACCAAGCUUAAGGAUCUUUUGAAUGGAAAAGACUAUGUGCUCACUUAUGAGGAUAAGGAUGGGGACUGGAUGCUUGUUGGAGAUGUUCCAUGGGAGUAAGUUUUCUCUCUUAUAUUCAAAACUUGUUAGAAGCUUUCUCUAUACUCUACCAGAUAUCUUAGAAUCAAAUCUAACAUGCUAUGGAAGAUUAAAUCAUGGUGAUUGGUAUAAGCGCUCCUGAGUGAUUUCUAAUCCAAUGUAUAUUACAGGAUGUUUAUUGAUGUCUGCAAGAAGCUGAAGAUAAUGAAAGGAUGUGAUGCUAUUGGGUUAGGUAAAGUCUUUUCUUCUCUCUGCUCCUAAGAUACAACGUAAACUACUAUCUCUAAAACCCAUUGCAAGUAGGUUUAUGAUGAGAUUAGUGGUUUGUUGGUGUGAGUUACUUGUAGCUGAUUUAGAAAGUUCAAUUCAUAUUUGAUCACUUGUCUUCUUUUGGGAGUAAAGACGAUAAAUUAACAUGUAAAUAUAACGUAAUUAAACUGACAUAAAUAAUAGUCGUUAUUAGGAGUUUGGUAUGGACUUUGAAUCUAAAAUGUCUUAAUGAUUCAAUGUGGUGAACUGGUGAUAUUGCAGCUGCAGCUCCGAGAGCAAUGGAGAAAUCGAAGAUGAGAGCUUAAAAGAUGGAACAUGACAAAGCUUUCUAAUUAUACAAAAUAUGUGCGAUCUUUUGGUGGUGUUUUUAAAUUUCAAAACAUCAAUAUCUUUUAAGUUUCUGAGAUUUUAAAAAGAAGUAAGUAAGACUACGAAUGUAAGGAAAUGAAGAAGAAUUAAAAAUGAUCUUAUUUUUGUUGUUGUUUGUUGCUUUAGUCGAACCAGUAAACUGGUCGUUGUUUUAUGUUUUGGGUUUGAUUUGGAUGUGUGGUUGACUUCUAUCUUUGAGAUAUUAUUUGAUGUAACUCUCUUUUUUUUUUCUUCUUUUGCUUCCCUUUGCUUCUUCUCGAGUAGUGAAGGUAGACAAUCCGAUUUUACGAUUUGGCUUUGGCUUGGAUUUGUUUGUAAGGUUUUUUCUUUCGGUUUGUAAAAUCUAAACUCAAAUAAAACCAUUUAAAUUUGCUUUGGAUUUUAAAAAAUUUCGUUUUAUCCGGUUUGGUUUAAAGUCUAAAAAAACUAACUUACAACUAUACUAAAACAAUAAAUUUACUCUAGAUUCCAAUGUGGGUAUGCAGCAUGUUGCUGGGAUUGUCUUUGACAGUGAACGCAAUAUGUCUUUANNNNNNNNNNNNNNNNNNNNNNNNNNNNNNNNNNNNNNNNNNNNNNNNNNNNNNNNNNNNNNNNNNNNNNNNNNNNNNNNNNNNNNNNNNNNNNNNNNNNUGUAGACAACAGACCCCAAAGCGAUAGGGUACUGAAUACCUCCUUUCCGUGAAGCUCGACACACCCACCGGAUCGCCAUCUCUCCCGGCGUUCUACUCCGGUGAGAUCCUUCUCCAUCUCCGAUUAUCAUCACCACCAAUCUCCUCCGAGCUUCCUCUUGUUCCCGUGAUGGAGAGAAGAUGGUCAAAAUCGAAAUCAAUUUUAGAUUCCGACCACAGCCGUACGUUCUCCGUCCGACGGCCACCUCCGGCGAGAGCAAUUAAUUUUGGUGAAUCGAAGAAAUCACCUUCAUCUCUCAUCUUCGCCUCUCGAUAUGAGACAUUUAUCACCUCCAUCUUUGCAUGCGUUCUACUUCCGUCCUCUUCGGUGGUCUCCGGUGAAUCGGACCGCCGCCGUCACCGUUCAUCCAAGGUAUCCUCUAAUCUCCCUCUUGUCUCUUCUUGGGACACUUAGAGACUAGGAUCCCUAAAAAUUUCCAGAAUUCUGAGAAACCUAAAAGUUUCCCCUUUUGAAUCAAGCCCAGGAGAUCGGCUCCGUUUCUCCAACGAGCUUCAUCUCUCCUCCGACGAGAUUCACAGCUCAAUUGCUCUUGCCUUAAUCGAUAUCUAACUCCAUCUGCUGCGUUAAUAGUCGAGAAGAAAACAAAAUUCCGGUAACAAGUCGGGCUCUUUCUGUGGAAUCCUAGGAGCAAUUAUUGACCAUGAGAUAAUCGAUUUCUCAUUCUGCUUUUCAACUGUGACUCCACCUGAAACUGGUAUCCCUCUCAACACAAUUUCAGCAAUUUUCAAACAAGUAAUUAAUUACUUGCCUUGAUUCACUUUCUCCUGACUGGCUGAUUACUCCAAUCUCAUCACGUGUGAUUUUCUUUAACACUUCUCAACAGAUACUCCCUUUUUCCAGACUUUCCUCUGAAAGAGCUACUCCCUUAGCUCUAUCUCCGUCACUGUUCACUCCGUGAAUAGUAGACGUUUUUCCCAAAUCUUCCAUUUCAGCUUCAUCGCUUGAGCUUUCUUUAACCAAACUGAUUCCUGAAGAAUCCCUUUUCUUUAUGAUACUUUCUGCUUUUUCCUUCAAGAUCCCUUCUUCCUUCAUCUCAUUUUCACGCUUCACCCACUUCUUCUUGGCUUGUAAUCAGAAUUUCUUUUACUCUUCCAGAUUUCGCCUUCCUCCACCUUUGGACUGGUGGUACUCUUGUAGGACCUUGAAUUAAUUUCUCACUGAAAGUCACUUUCUUUGACUUCUUCAUUCUCACUCCAUAUUCAGCCUUAGCAAUAUUGUUUUCAUCAGUUUCAGCCUCUGGUACACUCUUUUCAGCCUUAACAACUGUGCCUUGAAGAUAGUAAAGCCCUUCGUGAUAUUUUCCACUUGUCACUUUCUUACCAUCUUUGUAGAUAUUCACCAUGAACUCGCUGCCCUCAUACGUACAACCCGACUUCUCUAACAUUCCAUAGGAGAUCAGAUUCCUACUCAUAUGUGGCAUGUACCUCACAUCUUUGAGUAUUACCACAAAACCGUCUGGUUUCUGUAUCUGAAUUUUUCCUAUUCCUUUGACCUCACUAUGACUGUUAUUAGCCAUUAUAACCUUUCCUCCAUUGAAUUCCUUAAGAUCACUCAAGAUUUCCUUGUUUGGUGUGAGGUGGAAUGAACAACCCGAGUCCAUAUUCCAUUCUUUUCCUUGGUCUUGAGUGCUCGCAGUUAACACCAACGGUUGAUGUGGUUCUGUUGCAACGUUUGCUGAGCUUGAAGGUUUGUUUGUGUUCUUCUUGGGACAUUCUCUUUUCCAGUGCCCUUCUUUACCACAAAUGAAACAACCUUUGUCAGUUUUCUUGUACCUAGGCCUAGACCUGCCUCUGCUUUUAGACCUUCCUCUCCCCUGGUUGUUCUCACUGUUGAACUGAUUAUCUGAUCUGCCUCUUCUCUCAACAUAUAACCCUUCUGCCACUGAUCUUGAAAGCUUUCCACUCUCUGUGAGUGUUUGGUAUCGUUGAUUCUACUGCUUGAUUUAGGAGAAGAAACUUUCCUAGAUGCAGUAUAUUCUAGAGACCUAAUUGAAUUUAUGUUGGCCCUUUUGUUUUGGUAGAAAUUGAAGUUUUCGUGAUUUUUUUUUGUAAUCUAGGGUUUUAUUUUGGUAAACUUUACUCCAAUUUUUUUUUGGAUAAACGUAUCUCGACUUCUUCGUUUGACCUUGAAUGUUGACUUUCUUUUUAGCGUUCUAUUUUCUUAGGUCGUUUUGUUCCAGAUUUUGUGUUGUUAGUGUUUAGUAUCCUUGAUUUUGAGGUGUUUCUACUAUUAAACCAUCGAUGGGUUUUGGCUGAUUUAGGAUAGAUGGCGAUCAAUUGAGGCUCAUUUGUUCAUGUUUUCAUCAAUCACAUGCGUCGGAUGUGCUCCACCACGCUGCUGCAUUCUAGGUAAAGCAAAUGGAGCAGGAGGCAAAUCACCAUUGGUGUUCCUCUUCCUCUCCACAAGACGUCGUACUUUCCUUAGCAUGUAGAGGCCUUGUAGCUAGGUUGAAAUCUUGUUGAGUUGAAAUAACAAGUAUGUUUGGUGGUAGUCUGCCUAGAAGAGUCUCAUCCAACAUUUCUUCCAUAAAAAGCGAAUCUACAACAUUGAACGAUCUCUCAAAUUCAUUCGGUAUAUCCUCUCCUAGAUGUGCUACAUUACGACAUCCAUCAUCCGCGCAUAGACAUUUUCUUACGGGAGCUUCAAGGAAUCUGAAUCCCAACGCUUAAAUAAUGGCAUGCUCGGUUCGGUAUUAAACAUGUUUGUGUCUACUAUAAACCAUCACCGGCUCGCAAACUGUAUAAUCCCUAUCAACUAGCUGAAGACAACUUUGAAUAUUAUCUAGAAUGUGAGCCACGAGAAUGUUCCUAGAGUAACUGCAGUUUUCACUAUCAUGAAAUACAGCAACAACAUGAUCUUCAAAUUGAGUCAGGAUCAUGAUGUUGGUGUAUUUUAGGAUAGUGAAAACUGCAGCUUCUCUAAGAAGAAUCUCGUGGCUUGCAUUCUAGAUAAUAUUCAGAGUAGUCUUUGGCUGGUUGAUACAAUUAUAUAGUUUGCGUGUCGGUGAUGGUUUACAGUGGUCACAAACGUGUUUUUUUACCGUACCGAGCAUGUCGGUAUUCAAACGUUGAGAUUCAGAUUCCUUGAAAUAUCUGUAAGUAGACGUCUAUGUGCGGCCGAUGGAUACUGUAAUGUAGCACAUCUACGAGAGGGUAUACCUGAUGAACUUGAGAGAUCGUUCAAUAAUGCAGAUUCGCUUCUUAUGUGAGAAAUGUUGGGUUAGGCUUUUCUAGGCAGACUAUCACCAAACAUAUUUGUUAUUUCAAACAAACGAGAUUUCAGCUUAGCUACAAGAGCUCUACAUGCUACAAGAAUGGGAUAGAAUGCUGCUCCAUAUGCAAAUUGCCUCCUGCUCCAUUUAUUUCAAACCAAUGGCGAUUUGCCUCCUCCAUUUGCUUUAGCUACUUGGGAAUGGGAUAGAAUGUUGCAGUGUGGUGGAGUACAUAUGGCGCAUGUGAUUGAUAAAAACAGGAACAUAUGAGCCUCAAUUGAUCGCAUGAUUAUUCUUAUGUUCAUCUUUAUCGAUGUUGCAUGAUUAUUCUUAUGUUCAUCUUUAUUGAUGUUGAUUACGUUGGUUGGUUUUUACAAACACAGUUUUAAUGUUUGGUUUUAUUUAAGAGUCUUAGAUUCUAUCAAAAACUUGGAAGUUUUAAUGGUCAUAGAUUAACUGAGCUUCCCCCCUCCAAAUCUUUUUUGUAGUGAUUUCGUUUUCUGAAACACUUAAUCUCGCAAUAUGCUAAUCAUUGUGUGACAAUUUGCUCUUCUUGUUUUUAAUGCAAUUUGAACAAAUGAGAUUCUUUUCCGCCAAUGGAAAGAAUGAUAAAUAACAAUCAAUAUUCCAUAUUUAUGUUCUUGAACUAAGCUGUGAUAGAGACGCCUCAAUCUGAAUCUGGAAACUUAACUAAACAAUUAAGUUUCUUUAGAGAAAUCUUGAUGAUCUUUUACAAUUUUGCAACGUAGUGUACAACAAAUGAAGGUAAUAUUUGUUUUAUGUUCCAAGGCACAUUACUUUUGUACAAGAAAGUAGAUGUGAAUUAAUCGUAAAAUUUUGACAGUCACAUUUGAGCUUUCUGGUCUCAUGCUUCCUCGAGAAGAAGCGCAAUGGCUGAAUCCAUGGUCACUACAUCAGGCUCGGAAUCUUCGUUAUAUCGAUCCACAUUAUUCAGAGUAAUCCCUGCAGAGUCACAAAGGGAGCAAAAUCAUUACACAAAAUACACUUCCAAAACGAAUUAGUGGUAAAAAAAUUAAAUUAAUUAAAGGAUAUAUAUCGGGUACACCAAAUUCGGUUUUAGUCCAUAUCCUAAGUAAUGAGACCCGUCGGUUUAUAAACAAAUUUCGGUUUCAUUUCGUCUAAGCUUUUCGGUUUGGUUCAGUUUAGUUUGUUUGUUUUUGUUUCUUCUGUAACAGAUUCUUUUUCUACUUUAUUUCUCAUCUUCUGUUUUUCUUGCAUAUGCAUCGUUACGACACCAUUUGUUUAUUUUAUUAACAGGUGAGUUGUGAAGUAAGGGAUAAUGUAAAUUAAACCUGCAUAUUUUGUUUGUUUCAUCAGUUUUUUGAGUUUGUUUAAACUGCAAAUUAAACAUGGAGGCUCUCUUCUGCACAUGCAUUUGCAAAACAAUCUUAAAUAUAAAUCAGUACUUAGAUCUUUGAGGUGGAUUGUUAAAUUCUAACACAUUUGAAUGCGGAAGAGGUAAAACAUAUACAUAUCUUAAUCCGAUUUAACGAUAGAACUUCUCCAUAAUGUUUAAGGAAACAGACACAUAGGCACAAACCAAUCUUUAAACCAACUUGAAUAAUUCACCUGAAGAACCAAAAGCUACAAGACAAACGAAAGAUGAAUAAAGGUGAUUUCGCCGGGAAAAGGUUUUGAUAUCAAUCAUUAUUUCAGUUUUUAACCUUCCAUGAAACUUUCUUUGCCCUAGCAAGCAUGGGUGCGUAUAAACUCAUCAUAACUAUGUACAAUCUCCAAAUGAAGAUAUCAUAAAUUUCAACCAAUCAGUUUUAGAUUUAGUCAAUAACUAUAGUUUAAUAGUAUCGAAUAAUAUUGUCUCAGAAAAAGAUAGUCAAAGAUACAUAAACACAAAUUGCUAUAUAGUAUAAUCGCUCACUCAAGGAACGUUUAUUAUUUUCUGUUCCUGAAGGUGCAAGCAUAGUGCGCCUCUUUGGCUUUGGCAAUGGUGGUUUGCUUAUUGUUUUAUGAAAAUUAUUUUUGUGAUAUCAUUUAUUGCUCAUUUUUAAUAAUUCAUGUUAGCGUUGACAAAACAAUAUGAUUAAACCCCACCUAAAUGAAAUGUUAUAUUCAACUUAUCCAAUUUUUCAAAGAGGCAUUAAUUAAUCAAUUCCAAGGCAUAUAUUCGAUCAAGAUAAUUAAAUACUCCUAUAGUACUCUCAUAAUUUAAGAGAACCUACGGGUCGAAUUUAAAUCACUCUUGUUACUUUAAACUUGAAUCCAAAUAAUGUAGUAUAUAUGUGUGAUUCUAGUAGCUUCACGUGAACUUAAUAGUAUACACAACAAUCAUUGGUUCGUGAAUCUCAUUUAAUUCGUUUCGCCUUGAUGCACUUAUUUUGAAUGGGACAUACUAUAUAUUCAUAUAAGUUGAUAAACUAUAUAGUAAUAUUCAAUGUUUUUAAAAUUAAAUAUGAAAUAGACUUAGGGAAUGACAUGUCGAAUUUGUCUCCAAAAGAUAGGAAUUGAAUUAUGCUUCUCAAUAACGGAACGUGGCAAUACCUUUAACACUCAUCUAUAAUUCUAUAUAUAUGGUUGGUUCCCAAAAUUAUUUCUUCAUCAAACGAAAAAAAUCCAAAAUUAUUUAUAAGAUCGUAAAUGUGAAUGAUUUGAUUAUCUCAAAUGUUAUAUUCAAGAAUAGUAUCUAUAAUCUUUAGUUAGCAUUACGUAUUUAGGUCAAUUAUUCAACUGAGUCUACGAGUCGAAUUGUCCGAGUGAACUGUUUGCAUGCAGUUGGAUUCGAAUUCUAGGAAAAUAUAUCAAAAGUUAAGGUGUUACUCCAAAAAAAAAAAUUGCAUAUGGCGAAAAAAAUAAAAGAAAAGAAGCUUGAUAGAUGUUUAUACGGUCGAUUAUGAGAAUGAAUUUGUGUUUCGAUUUGGUAGACCUUCAACAACGCACCGAAUUGAUGGUAUCCAUAAAUUUCUUAUCAGUUAUCAAUCAUAGGAGGUUUAUGAUCUAUUUAUGUAUGGACAAAAUAUAUCGUAUCGGCAUUAUUAUUGCCUAGCUAGUUAAGUUUUUUCUUUUUUCCUUUUUUACUUUGAAAGGUUUGAUUAGCAAUUUUGUCCGGACAGACCAAGUAUAUGUACAAUAUUUAUGAUUGUGUAGGACAUUCAAAGAUCUUCCAUACAGUUUUCGAAUUAAUUGGUAUAAGAGUUUUUCUAUGUUAAAUUAAAUCAAAACCAGCUAAAUUAGAUUAACAAAUAUUUUCAUUUUUGGUGGAUAAUCAAUGAUUCCAUGGCAUGUAUGCACGAAGUCAUGUUGUCUCUACAAUGGCAGCCACUUAAAACCUACCAAACAAUUUGCAAAUGCUUAAUUACAAUUUUGUUUAGCAGCUCCCAUUAUCACAUGUACCCAUUUAUUUUGGGAAAAAUGUAUUGAUAAGCAUAUUUUUUUGUCAUAGGAUAUACAGGGAGGUUUUGCGCAUAUUAACAAAACACUUUCUUACACAAGUAUCAAUUAUUUUGGCCACUUGGACCUUUUUAAUAACAUGAAUACCCAUCUUAUCUUUACAUAGAUCACAUGAUAAAUUUAUGUUUCGAUACGAGAUCUUCAUGUAAAUCCGCACAUAAAAUAACAAAAGCCAGAUUCGAAGUCAUUUUCUUUUCUGACGACAUUGAAAAUCAUUUUAUGUUUACGAAAUAGGAAGAUUAUUAGUUAUAGUAGUGUUACGAAAUUAUUACUCGUACUAGUCUUAACCCUUGUUGUUUCAUUCUUUCAUGUGGCUCCUCAGCAUACUGUAUAUAAUUCCAAAGUAGUUAAGGCCACAAAUUGCAGUAAUCUAUAUUCUGGAGUCUAUACCUUUGAUCAGCCAAUCUAAGAGGUUGUCAAAGAAAAAUAAUAGGAAUGUCGAAAUCAAAAUCAGACAAAAACCAUCAUUUUUUGCAAUAGCAAGAAGAAUUCAAAAUUUGCUGGACCUGGACCAGUCUAAUCUUUAUGUCAUAUCAUUAGCUCUUGUCGUCACCGUAUAAUCAUAUAAUUGGAUCUUUCGAAAUGUUGGAAAAUUUAAAUUAUUUUGUUGGUAAAUAAAAGAAAUAAAAAAAUGCACUUCGACAUUUCUCCAUCAAAGACCAUAUAUAUAACUUUCCUUACAUAAUUCCAAACCCAAAAAUUUAGGUUAAAAUUCAUCCAGCCAGAUCAUAACGUAACUAUCAAAUUAGCUAAUACGACGUGUUUUAAUUUGUAUAAUUCCAUAUGUAAAUUUGAUUUGGAUUCUAUAUAGAAAUUAGCUUAACGUUUAUUACUCAACCUGUAACGUCACGUGCCCACAUGUUUGACCUACACUCUAUCACAAUUUGUAUUUCGAAGAAUCCGAUAAAUUUGAUAUGAUUUAUAUAAUCCACAUUGUGGAACAUUCAAGAGGAAUCCACAUUAGACAAUCUAAAUAGUUAAAUAAUUUGAAAAGAAAGAUUUACAUACAAAUGGAAACAAAGAUUCCGCGUCUCAAGUUAUUUGAAAUCUCAUUUUUGCAUUUGGUCGGUUAUUACCGUUGACUUUUUAACUUUAUGAUUCAUCCACCCAAUGAAUCACUUCAAAAUACAUACAAAAAAAAAAGGACUUAAAACGGAUCAGUGAUUCAGUGAUGAUUUUCCUCGAGGCAAAUUACAUGCAAAUGGAAAUAAAAGCCAUUUCAGACGCAUAAAGUCACAAUUUUUACCUUAUAAUAUUUGCUAAAAUUAAAAUAACAUAAAAAAGUCUUUAUCGAAACAUCACUAGAGAAGAAAUCUCUCUCUAGUCUUUAUCUGAGUAUUUAAUUUCUCCAUCUUCCUUAUGAUCCAUUAUGCCCCAAAGUCCUUCUUCUUCUUCUUCUCUAUAAUUACUUGGACAAAUAGAAGAAAAAGAAGAAGAAUAUAGAAAAUGGUGUUUGGUUGGAGAAAAGCGUUUUGCACUUCCGUUUCAAGUAAUCAAGAUAAACCUCAACAACAAUCAUCAUUACACUCUGAUCCUCCAAUUCCCACCCCAAGAUUCCGAUCAAAGUUUGGUUUUUUAUCCAACCCUUCUACUCCUCGUCUCCGAUCUCGCGGUGGUGGUGGCACUGGAUGCCGCUCCUCCGCUUCCACAUCAGUCACUAUCCCAUCUCUUCCAACUAGUCCCAAACUCCAUUGCAGGACUACGAGCAAUGCUACUCCAAGGACUAGUAACAGCUCAAGUCCUAAGUUUUUCUCUAACCCUUCUUCUCCGAAAUCAUCUUCUUCUUCCUCUCAAGGCGGCGGCGGCGUCUCUCUCCUCCGUGCCACGCUUCUUCUCAACAAGGUAGUUACUUUUGAUUUUUAAAGGUUCUUAAUUUGUGCUUAUAAACGGUUAAUUAAUCUAAAGCUCUGUUUUUUCUGUGUGUGGAUGCAGAGUAAUAGUAGCAGAUGUGGGAUUUGUUUGCAGAGAGUGAAUUCAAAUCAAUGUAAUUCGACGACGGCGAUUUUCACGGCGGAGUGUUCACAUUCGUUUCACCUCUCUUGCGUCAAUGGAUUAGAAGACAAGCGUUGUCCGUUGUGCUCCGCCGCGUGGCCGAAGUUGAAUUCUCCGGCUGUAACUUUCAGUUCCGACCCGAAUAGACGACCCGAGAUCCGAGAGAUCAAAACGGGGAAGUCACUGAGAGUGUACAACGAUGAUGAGCCGUUAGCUUAUUCGCCGGUUUCUCUUGCUCAGAUCAACACUAUACAUGAAUCCGACGAAUACGACGACGUUGAAGAUGACGAUGACUUCCCCGGAUUCUUCACGGAUACGGCUGAUAUGGUUCCUUCAAUCUCCGGGAAUCUGGAGGUUAAGUUGAUGCCGGAAUCUGCCGUAGUGGAAACCGGGAAAAGGAAAGAGACACACGUCGCCAUCAUGAAAUUGAAAGCGUCUCCGUCGCCGUCGUCGAUCACAGAUGCGAUUAAGGCGCGACGACCAUCGAUAGAUCUGGUAACGGUUCUCGAUUUAAGCAACGGCGGAGCUAAUUUGCAAACGGUUAAGCACGCGAUGAGAUCGGUGAUCUCUCUUCUCCGAGAGAUGGAUCGGUUAUCAAUCGUCGUUUUCUCGACGGGAUCCAAACGGUUAAUGCCGUUACGACGGAUGACGGCGAAAGGAAGACGAACGGCGAGGCGGAUGGUCGACGCGCUCGUCGGAAUGGAAACCACCGGAGGAGUUGGAAUGAGCGUUAACGACGCGUUGAAGAAAGCGGUUAAAGUCGUUGAAGAUCGGCGGGAGAAGAAUCCGUCUACGAGCAUCUUUGUUUUAUCGGACGGUCAGGAUCAACCGGAGGCGGUUUUGAAAGCUAAACUAAACUCCACGCGCGUUCCUUUCGUCGUGUCCACCACGCGAUUCUCUCGUCCGGAGAUCCCGGUUCAUUCUGUUUACAUCGCUUCUCCUGGAGCGUUGCUUCACGCGCCGCUACGAGACGCGUUCACCGAAAGAAUCGCCUCGUUGCUUAACGUGACGCUCCAUGACGUGAAGCUAAAUCUCAGUUUGGUCAACGGUUCUUCUUUGACUGAGAUUUCUUCGGUUUACUCUUUAACCGGUCGACCCGAGAAUUUCGGCUCCGGUUCUGUUGUUGUGGUCGGAGAUUUGUUUGCAGAGGAGGAGAGAGAGUUUCUCGUUGAGCUCAAAGUGCCGACUUCGUCGAGCGGGUCACACCAAGUCAUGUCCGUACAGUCUUCCAUCGUUGACCCAAUGACACAUCAGCCAAUGACGUGUCCUAAAGAAAAACAAUUUUUGAUCCCACGGCCACAAUCCGUCAGAUAUGUAUCUUCAAGCAUCGAACGGCUGAGAAAUUUACACUCCAUGUGCCGCGCUGUAGCGGAUUCACGCCGGCUUAUUGAGCGUGAAGAUUUAUCUGGAGCUUAUCAGGUUCUAACGACGGCUCGGUCCAAUGCGUCUCAUUCGGAUGAUAGUUUAAGGAGUUUAGAGGUUGAGUUAACCGAGCUUAGUCGGAUUAAACCGAGAAAUGGUUUAGUAAACCGAGCUGAUGAGAAACCGGAGCAGCUUACACCGACUUCGGCUUGGAGAGCCGCUGAGAAAUUAGCUAAAGUGGCUAUUAUGAGAAAGCAUUUAAACCGGGUCAGCGAUAUGCACGGCUUGGAAAACGCCAGAUUUUAAGUCUUUUUUUUUUUGUCUCAAGAGUAUUGAUUUAUCAUUCCACAUAUUACAAAGACAACGUAUAGCCCCAUAAGAGUUUACAGAUGCCAAUAAGGUAUAAAUAAAUAAUAGAAGUAUGAUUAUUUAGAAAAAGACCCACAUAGGUGCAUGAUAGCGACAAGCAGUAGCCGACGGGUGUGGCCUUUUGUAUUGCAGAGAGAUUGUGACCCUACUUGAGGGAAUUAAUUGGUCUUUUGGCUUUUAUCUUCUUCUUCCUUUUUGUAAUCUUCAAAAAAUCCAAACUAAUGACUGAAAAGUUAAAAAAGAUUGUAGAUAAAAUAAAUGAAGUCUGCUUUUUGUUGUACUAUAUAAAAUUAAAAGUUGAGGUAUAAUGGAUUAGAGAGUGUGCUUGUAAUGCUGGAGUUCAAGAUCAAAAGUUAAUUUAUAUUAUCAUGCCGUUUAAGUUAAGAGGAUCAAUCUACUAUACAUUUUUGCAGCAGUUUUUGGGGUACCCAAAUCGGGUCAAAUUUGUUUAAUUUUGAUCCGGAAAUCUUCAAUCGGAUCUUUCCUUAAAUUUUGGCAAAAUUAAAAAACGAAAAUAAUUAAUAAAAUCUAAAAUAUAUAUACUUGAAACCAGGUCAUGCGCCGUUUCAAAGCCUCUUCUCACUUAAAAGUCUUAUAUGUAGCUAGCGCCAAGUUGCAAUUUUUUUUUGAAUGCAAUGAUUUGUGUGCUUUUUGAUCAACUAUUGUCAAAGGUCCACUUCUCGAUGUGAUUCUAAAAUGGUCAGUGGCAGAAGAAUCUCGAACUAUAUAUGGUCAAAUCAUAAUUAAAUACUAAUCUAUCAUUCAUCAUACAACUACAUAUUGCAACAUGACAAUGUUGAUUUCAACUAAAAUGAAAGGGAGAAACAUUGAUGUUUUCGAGUAUUUGAGAUAAAAUUUGAGGGAAUUUCUGCUGUAUUUUGAAAAUUCAAUUUAUCUAAUAUCUUAAUAUAUAGAUGUAUAGAUUCUUUAUGUUUUGAUAACCAACUUAUCAAAGGGAACAGAGCAGAUAAUCUGUUUUCUGGACAAAAGGAGAUUUUGGUGUCUAACCAAAACGAUGCCGGUUUAGCUAUUGAGUUAAAAGAGAAGAUGGGCCAACACGAGAAGAAGCCUUUUGUUGUGUAAACCUUUCAGCUGAAAUUUUUCUUACCAUAAGCCCAUUGAGAUUACAAAGAUAAUGUAAGCCAAUUAAUUCGCAAAAUAAAGCAUUUUACCUUUCCCGCCUGGGCCAUAAAUAAGAUACAAAAACUACCUAACUCUACAGACAAAGGUCCAUAUAAAAUGGUCUUAGGCCCAAAUUGGUCAAUAUAUAUGGCCACGCAUUCUAAAACGUUAUACUGUACUAUGUUCUAAAAUAAAAAUAUGAUUUAUUAAUCACCGAAUUUAUCUUACAUAAUGUAAUGGGUUAUUUAAGGGUUAUUUAAUAAUUUUGAAAAAGUUUCGUCAACUCCGAAAAGGUGGACGUGUUAAUUUAAAAGUCCAGGACUCCAGGUAUUGCGGGGCAUAGAGAGAUAAGCCCAUCUGACGUGGUUGUGAUGUGCUAACAGCUGUCAACAUUGAAAAUCAACGGUCCAGAUCUGUAUACUGACACUUGGCUUUGUAAAUCUGUUAAUUUUCUUUCUGGUCAAAAGUAAAAGUGUUUAUUAUACUAAUUGAUUUUCCAUUUAAUACAGCCCACGUUGGAUUAUCUUUCAAGUUUCUAACAUUGUUUUAUUGAUGACUUUGUGCUUUGCAAUACAUCAACACAUCAAAUACAAAGUAUAUGUCAUCCAUACAAAAUAAUACAUUAUCAUAAUAACCAAUCAAACUCCGUUAAUCCAUUUGUUCUUCUUCAGCGGUGGACUAUUUUUAAGAAAAUACUUCCUCCGUUUCAAAAUAUAAGGCGUUUUAGGUAAAAGCACGCAGAUUAAGAAGAUCUACUUUUUAAAAAUUCAGCCAAUCAUAAAAGAGACUGCAUAAUAUAAAUAAUCAUAAAAUAUUAAAAUAAUAUAUAAUUUGCAUUAAAACUCGAAAACGACUUAUAUUGUGAAACAAAAUACUUUACCCAAAACGCCUUAUAUUAUGAAACGGAGGGAGUAUCUAUUUAAAAUUUCAAUUUCCUUAGACCAUCUGCAUUAGAGGAUCACCCCCCUGAUCUAAGCAUUAUUUAAAUCCAAAAAAAUGGGUCAAUGGGCUUAAGAUCAGGAACUGGGCUCUUGACCUGGAUCUGUUUUUGUGGGUGUUGCGGGGUGACGUGGCAUUUGGGCAUUGGUUGGAAUAUUCAACAUAUUUGGAAUAAAUUUGGAUAAUAAACUAUGUAUUAAUUAGAUAAAAUGUUUUUGUGCUUUUAUUAAGUAAUAUGUUUGUUUGUUUAUUGUUAUUUAUAUUUUUAAUGUUUUUUUCAUAAAUAUUUAGUAUUGUAUUUUCACUUUUAUUUUCAGUUUUUCAUAAAUUUGGCAUUUGCAAUUUAUAUGUUAUUUUUAAAUGUUUUAAUAAUUGUAAAAUCUUAAUUUAAUUUAGAUUAUUAUAUUAUUAAGUCUUAAGAUCUUACACAUGUUCUCCCACUAAUCAACUUCUAAACAAAAGAUCUAAACACAUGAUCUUACAUUAUUUUAACAUUAUAUUCUCUAUAAGAACACCCUCACAUGAUCCCCCAUUGAUGAUGCCCUUACAGAGGAAGUAUAUAAUUAUAUUGAAAUAUGAUUUGAUAGUCUUUAAUCUAGUUUCUCUUUAACUAACCCGUUCAAUAAAUAAAAAAUUUGUUUGUAUGACAAGAACAAUAUACAACUUAAGUCAAACAACUGUUCGCAAAUUUGAUUAGGAAAAAAAACGUGCUUUCAAAAGUAUGUUCUACGCUGAACGGAUAAGAUUUUGGAAAAUGACACAUGGUUUCUUAUUAUACACUUGAAAUCCAACCAUAUUUUAAAACUAUUACCGGAUUGUAUAAUUAGUUGAAUGUUAUUGGAAUUGUUUCUUAAUUGCAAACGUGAAGACAUGAAUACACAUAUUAUCUCAUCCAUCGGUGAUCGGAUAACAACAUGUAUUAUACAAAGUGAAUAAGUGAUCCACACCCAUGUGCAAUUUCCUAAUUAGUAUGCUUAAUAAGAUUUGCAAAUGUAUCUAAAUCAACGUAAUGUCUAGUCAUCUAAUUACCAUAGUGGAUUUAAUAUUUUAUCUAAAAACUAUUACCUACAUUGCUAUAUGAGUUACUCUACGUGGUAGUCACUAAUUAAUUACAGGGAAACACACGAUUAGGCAGGCUAAUUAAAACGAGUAAUUUACUGAGUCAAAAGGAAGCCUAUAUAAUCGGCUUAUUCUCCAUCUUCUUCUCAUCACAACCAUUAGUCUCUCCUUCAGACAAUUUUGGUUUUUGUUUUUUCUAUUUAUAUAUUCUUUAUCUUCCACAAAAACAAAAGAAGAAAGACGACAUUUCGGUACUAACAUUGUUCUUCAUACGUCUCUUUAAAUUUAAGUGUGUAUUUAUUUAUACGUGUGUUUGGGUUAGUUGUGUAGUUUCAUCUUAAUCCCAAGUUAGUGGAAAUGGCGGGAAAGGGAAACGAAAAUACCGGUGGAGACUUCAGUUUCUCGGCUGCUGCUGCGCGUGAUGCGCUUCCGAGGAUCACGACAGAGAAGGGCGGCAAAUCUACAGACGUGUGCCACGACGACACCGCACCGCGGGUCAACUUUCAGACCAUCGACGAGCUUCACAGUCUCCAGAGGAAACGAUCUGCCCCGACCACUCCUCUUAGAGAUGGCAGCGCCAGCGGAGUCAGCGGAACUAGUGGUCCGACCACUCCGGUCUCCAGCGAGACCAUGCUUCAAUCCGUCAGGUAUAUAUACAUUUUUUUUUUUUAAUAUAUGGGGAAUGUAGAAAAGUUAUUAGGCCAAUCUAUGUUUACUAAUUUUGGAUUUCUUUUUUUUUUUACAAAUCACAAUCUUAUAAGGAAUCGUGAUUUAUGUGAUUAGCAUUUGCAUAAUUCCGUAAUUUUGAUGACAAAAAGUGUCACAUUUUUUUUUUUUUUUUUUGGCCAAUUUCCAUUAUGUAUUGUUACUACUCAAAAUCUUGAUUUAAGCAAUUGAUUUUGGUGAUUAAACAUGUGAAAUCGCGUAUGACAUAUAUAGUGGUUUCUCAUAAUGUAUGAUUGAAUUUUGUUUAGUUUUGCAUGUUACCAAUCAUACAAAAAAAAAAAAUGUUACGAAUGCUAUAUAAUUUGGUGAAAUAUUGGAUAGUGCAUCGUUGGCUUCGUUGACGAGAGAGACGGGACCGAAGUUAAUAAGAGGAGAUCCAACGUCGGCAGCGAAAGUGGCACACGUGCCAGUGACUCCUAGGUCACUUCCGACUGCUGACGUCAGCGACAGUGGCUUGAAGUUCACUCACAUCCUUCACAACCUCUCUCCAGCCGGUAACACCCCCUAAAACGUCACCGUUUAAAAUUAAGGGCCCAAUUUGAUGUUGUGUACAUGUUUUGUCAUCACCUUUCGAAUUUUAUAUGAUUGCAGAGUUGUACGAGCAGGCGAUUAAGUAUGAGAAAGGAUCGUUUGUGACAUCGACCGGUGCGUUGGCUACAUUGUCCGGAGCCAAAACCGGUCGGUCUCCUAAAGACAAGCGUGUGGUUAAGGAUGAGACCACUGAGGCCGAACUCUGGUGGGGGAAGUGAGUCACUUUCUAUCUACAACAUACAUAUAUAUAUAUAUAUAUAUAUAUAUAUAUAUAUAUAUAUAUAUAUAUAUGACAUGUCAACAAAUGAAGAUAACCGAAUUAUAUAUAAUAACACAUUCAUCAAAUGUGAUAUCCAUUUAGUAUUUGUUUUUCUAUUUUUAAAAUUCUUAAAAAUAAUUUAUAUAUUUUUGUUACAGAGGAUCACCAAACAUUGAAAUGGAUGAGCAAACUUUUUUGGUGAACCGAGAGAGAGCUGUUGAUUACUUAAACUCCUUGGACAAGGUAACUUGACAUAGACAAUAUUCAAAAUGAGAUUGUAGUGGAAUUUUAUAGACUAUAUAUUAAAGACUUUUUUAAAAUUUAUAUUGUCAGGUGUUUGUGAAUGAUCAAUACCUAAACUGGGAUCCAGAGAACAGAAUCAAAGUGAGAAUUGUUUCAGCAAGAGCUUACCAUUCACUAUUCAUGCACAACAUGUGUAUCCGUCCAACACCUGAGGAGUUAGAGAAUUUCGGGACACCCGAUUUCACGAUUUAUAACGCGGGGAAAUUCCCGUGUAACCGUUUCACUCAUUACAUGACAUCUUCCACAAGUGUGGACAUAAACCUAGGAAGAAGAGAGAUGGUGAUUCUAGGUACACAAUAUGCUGGAGAAAUGAAGAAAGGACUCUUUGGUGUGAUGCAUUAUUUGAUGCCUAAGAGAAAGAUUUUGUCACUUCACUCUGGUUGUAACAUGGGAAAAGAUGGAGAUGUUGCUCUCUUUUUCGGACUUUCUGGAACCGGAAAGACUACAUUGUCGACUGAUCAUAACCGAUAUUUGAUCGGAGAUGAUGAACAUUGUUGGAGUGAGACUGGAGUUUCGAAUAUCGAAGGUGGUUGUUACGCGAAAUGCAUUGAUUUGGCAAGGGAGAAAGAGCCUGAUAUCUGGAACGCUAUCAAGUUUGGAACCGGUAAUUUUAAACAAAACUCUGUUUACAAAUGUUUUUUCGAAAAUAUAUUUUACAUUUUCGUAACAUUUUAUGUUUUGGUUUUGGGGACAGUUUUGGAGAAUGUUGUGUUUGAUGAGCAUACACGAGAAGUGGAUUACACAGACAAAUCGGUGACGGAGAACACACGUGCAGCUUAUCCGAUUGAGUACAUUCCGAACUCGAAGAUUCCGUGCGUUGGACCACACCCGAAGAACGUGAUCCUGUUGGCUUGUGACGCCUUUGGUGUGUUGCCACCAAUCAGCAAGCUCAAUCUUGCUCAGACUAUGUACCAUUUCAUCAGUGGCUACACUGCUCUCGUAAGUCCCGAUUUGGUUUGGUUUGGUUCAGUUUGGUUCUCUUGUCAUCGACUCGUAAUGAAUUAUGUGGUUUUGCAGGUUGCAGGAACAGAGGAAGGAGUUAAGGAACCUCGAGCAACAUUCUCGGCUUGUUUCGGUGCUGCUUUCAUUAUGCUUCACCCAACCAAGUAUGCUGCUAUGUUGGCUGAGAAAAUGCAGGCUCAAGGAGCCACCGGUUGGCUUGUUAACACUGGAUGGUCCGGUGGAAGGUAAAUCAUCUUCGGAAUCUCAAUCAUAAUUAACCGCAAAACAAAACAGAAAAAGAUUGAGAUUUUUUAACAAGAUUGGUGAUAAAUUUUGCAGCUAUGGAUCUGGAAGUAGAAUCAAGUUGGCGUACACACGAAAGAUUAUCGAUGCUAUACAUUCGGGUAGUCUCUUGAAUGCAUCUUACCGAAAAACAGAUAUUUUUGGUUUGGAAAUUCCAAAUGAAGUUGAAGGAGUUCCUUCUGAGAUACUGGAACCUAUUAAUGCCGUAAGUUAGAGAAACAUUCACUAAAUAGAAUAAUCCAUUUUAAAAAAAAAACUUGACAUGUUUGGUUUAUGUGUGUUUUGGUGCAGUGGGAAGACAAAAUGGCUUAUGAGGACACAUUGUUGAAACUGGCUGGUUUGUUUAAAAGCAAUUUUGAGACAUUCACAAGUCAUAAGAUUGGUGAUGAUGGAAAAUUGACUGAAGAGAUUCUUGCAGCUGGUCCUAACUUCUAAGUGAUUGAAGAUGAUGAUGAAAAACAAACCUUUUUCUCCAACCAAAAUAAGACAAUACUAUUUAUUUUUUCUUCCCAAAUUUCCCCAUUUUUUAAAUGAGAAACUUCAGUAAGAACGGUAAUUUAAAGUAAUACGAAUAAUGUCAAAAACCACCAAUUUGUUUGGUGUCACUUUGAUUUAUCUGUCUGAUUAUUUCCAAUUGAAAUGAGAACAAUUCUUUUAUUUCUUUCUUCCAUGAAUGUUGAAGUAUGGAGAUAUUUGAACUUGUUAACUAAUCAAACCAUUUAACUAUUAACAAAAACAGAGAGUGAACAUAAAUAAUAUAAUCCCUGUAAUUAUUGAAUCUUAAUGAAGGUCGAGAAGAAAUUUUUUCCACCAAUCAACAUACAAGACCUCUAUUAAAUCAGAAAAGACUGAAGGAAAAAAGAGAAUAAAUUUAUUCUAAAAAAUUAGGUUUAUGUACACAAAAGGAACUGAGAGAAUCUAAGGAAAAGAAAAUGAAUCAAAUGAAUUGUUGUUCAAUCAAACAAUGGAAGGACUAAGAAUUAUUUGGUCGUGUAGAAGAAAAAAUGAUUGUCUUCAAAAAUUAGACGAGAGUAGAGUUCUCUGCUUUGCUUUCCAAUUUCUCUUCUUCGACCUCAUCAUCUUCACUUACUUCAUUAGACCGAUCCACACUAUUCAUAAAUAUCCCUACAAAAACAAACAAAUUUACUAAGCUAUACAGAAAGAUUAUGAGAUGAAUGAAAAAAAUAAAAAUAUUGAGUCCUUACCAAUUCCCCAUAUAAUAGCUGCGACGAAGAGGAUUGAAGUAAUGAUAAGAGUUGAUGUUCUCCAAUUUUUGAGAUGAUCCUGCAAAAACAUUGAGAUAGUUAAUAGAAAUCUAAUCCUAAAAAGUAAAACUAAUUUGUUUUUAUGUCAUUAAAUGAUAAUACAAACCUGCAUUUUCCCAUAAAGUGGAGAAGAAGGAACAUCGCCUAAGAUAUGGAUCAAAACAGUUGAAGAAGCCAUUGAUAAUGGUCUCAAGUUUGGUCUAACGCAAUGGAGACAAACAAAGUUAACUGGAGCCUGCACAAGAAAGCAAAUGUCAUUCGGGUCAAACAAGUCAGAAAAAAAAGAAACAGAGAGUAGCUUUUUCUCAAAACUCUUGAGAUUGAUUAUAUUACCUGUGGUGCAAAGAUUAGAAUUUCUCCCACUGCGAAUAAACCGAUGAAGGCAUACAUAUUCUUCAUCAAGAAAGCAGUGAAACAAAACGCUGCGCCGAGUAAAGUUGAUGCAGCUAGUAACUGUAUAAGAUCAAUUAAGAGGUAAUCAGAAAAAAGGCAGAAUUCAUUGGUAAGUAAAAGGUGUUUAGUGAAUUCUUUAUUACCUUGAACGUGUUUGAAAGAGUGGCGUUUAUGCGAUCAAGCACAUAGCUUCCACCUAAUGUUCCAAUUAUUCCGCAGAUGAUUGUAAGUCCUCCAAAAAUCAUGUCUGCAUUUUUCAUUUUGUAGAUACCAAAACCGGCUUUUGGUCCCCAAUAUGAGUAAGCUCCGAUCACAAAGUUGUAGGUGAUGUAACCAAGAACGUUUACUAUAAAUACUUUCUCGCUGAAAAGAGCCUUUAAGUCUUUUCCAAAUAGGACAACCAGGUUCUUGGAUCUGCCCAAAAAAAGGAGAAUAUUAGUAUAUUAGUUGACUUUUGCAUAGACAGGAACAAAGAAGAGAGGAAAGCGAAACUUACUUGGGGGUUUUGGUUUUAAUUUGUGAAGCUUCUGCAUCCGUAGGAGCGACCGUUUCAAUAGAUGUAGAGGAUUUCUUCGAAUCUUUAUCAGCAAAACCUAUACACAAAGAAGAACAUCUUAGUCAAAAAUUGGCACAACUUCUAGCACGCGGAUUAUGCAAUGAAGAUUAAAAAGCAUCUAGUAUCACCUUUUAGCUGCUGCGGUGGUUUGAUACAGAAGGACAAAACGACGAAGACAGCCAUUGCAAUUGCCUCUAUGUAAAACGCCCAACGCCAUCCUAAAUGGUUUCCAAUCUGAACAGGAAAAGCAAAUAGAAUAUGAACAUAUAUUUCCUCAGAAGCAGAAAAUGUGUACCCAUAAAAAGAGUUUAGCAUAAACUUACGAAUCCACCAAACACAUAGCCUAGAGCAACUCCUGCUGGUAUACACAUGUAGAACAGUCCAAGCCAGAAAUUUUUCUGGAAAGAAAGACAAAAAAAAGAACAAUUAGUUAAGCGAGUAAACUAGCGACAAACGGUAAAAGCUUCGGUAACUGAACUGAAAACUAACCCUUGCAACAGGAGCACUAUCAUCGAUAUAUGGUGCUGCAAGACUAAUAAAGGAAGCCUCACCAACCCCAACAAACCUAUAUGCAAGUUAUUAAAAAAAAAGAUUGUUAGUUAAUAUACAGAAACCGGAUUGAAAAAGGCGAAAACAUGGAAUUGUAAAUAAAUUACUCACAUUCGGAAAACAGCAAUCAUCCAGAAGUUGUAGGAAAACCCGCAACCAAGAGCAGCGAUAGUCCAAACGGUUAAUCCAACACCGAUUAGUUUAAAAGGAUUGAUUCUGCAAGCAAGUAUAGAAAGACAGAGAUAAUCAAAAGAAUGUCUCUUAAGUAUACACCUAAAAACAAGAAACACAAAUCCAAGAUUCUUUUUAUAAAAAUCUAACCUUUUGGACAAUCCAGCAAAUAUUGGAGAAGCCACAAGAAGUCCAACCAUAAACGCAGAUGACAAAAGACCAUCUUCAAAGUUAGUUAAUUUAAACUCUCCCCUGGAUCAACAGACACACAAAGUCUAAGUCUUUCUCAUAAAACUCAAAACAUAAUCAUUCUAAAAAUUAGAAUUCAGAACAAAAAAAAACUUACUGAAUUCCAGUUCCUGCAGAGCAAACCCCUUUGGCGUCGCAUGUUUUUGAGCUUCCAUUAACACCAUUACUCGCGAUCACUCCUCGAUCAACGUAAUUUAUCAAGUUAAUGAUACACAAGAUUGUAACGAAUCUACAAAAUAAAAAGCCCUCAAGAGUUAGAAUCAAAACCCACAAAGCUAGGGCAAAUCAGUUUUGUCUUUAGCUACUUAUCUAAACAUGACACAACCCUAAAAGUUUUCAUAUCACGAAAUCUUUGCCUUACUUUUUGGAAAUCUAAAUUCACCCAAUUCUUAGAUUUUGUUUUUUUCACACAACCACGCUUAAAUCGUUUUCACAAACCAGAGAGAUCACAAUCGUCAUCAACUUCAAAAACCCACCAAAGAAAUAAACAAAAGUGCUGAUUUUUUUUACCUUCCCGGCGUCAAAAAUCGUUUUUUAGUCGCCGGCGGAGCUUCUUCUUUAGCCGGAGAAUCUCUCUGGCCAACUUUCGUCAUUAUCUCUUUCGCUGUCAGAUUCAAUUUCAACACUCUGUCUUUCUUUACUAAAAAGGAACAAAAUUUUUGACAUAUACAGAGAGAGAAAGCUCUGAAUCCGAUUCCUGUUUUGAUUUGGGUAUAUUCUCUUACUUAUGCAACGAACUGUUAUUUCAAAACUAGAUUUAUCCGAAUUUUAAUUCUAUUUUAUCACUUUAAAACAAAAAUCAAAACAAUAUCUUCUUCUAAUUACGGUUUCUUAUUUUCCUUUUUUAAUCAACAGAAUUAUGGAAAAAGGUGUACAAUAAUCUUUCCUUUGACCAAAAACAAAAAAAAGUGUAAUUUCCUUUUUUCUUAACAACAUAAAAUAUAUUUUUAAUUAAUUCAGGAGUCCAAAUUGUUAGUUGGAAAAUCAAACAAUUAUACAACUAAUCUCACUAAACACAUGGACACAAUAGUUUUUUUUUUUUUUUUUAAUUUGUGUGAAAAUAUGAUAAAUAAUCAUCUUGUUCAUCAUCUCAUAGGUUCUUAAUGGAAGUAUAUGCAGAGACGUGAAGGUCACAACAAAAGUCUUUCUCCAUUGAGUUGUCCACUCCAAAGGGAGCAAAAAACAACUUGUCCCUAGAUUUUAAGAGAAGAGAGUUCAAUUAUUGUACCGUGAUUGAUGUAUUGAGAUAACUUGAAGUGACCAGUCACUUACUUGUGGAUAGCUAAAGUUGGUUCGAGACCAGGGAUUGAGCUAUGUGAAGAUGACAUUAUUACGACUUUGUUGGAGUAGACAACACCGCCCUAAGUAAAGGAAAUGUGAGAACAAGAAUGUUACUUGGACAUAAUAAUUCUCCUCUAUUUUUGCCUUCCAGUUACCUUCAAAAUGUUAACAAAAUGUGGAUUAGUGUUAUCUUGUAAGCGAUCAAGACGGUGAAGCUCAGCUGAAUCGAGCCCACAGAGCUCCAAUUUUUCAGGAGGUACAAGACCCUAAUAAGCACAAGCACAGGCAGCUGUUAAUCAAUUUUGCCAAUGUAGAGUGUAUAAGUAUAAAGGGAAAAGCAAAGUGGCUUGCCUUGUCAAAGUCUUGGCAUGUCAAGAGUAUUCUAGUACCUUCAAGUCCCUACAAAAUUCGUAAAGAGUUGGCAAUAAGAUAACUACGCGUGAUGGAUAUUAAAAUGCUGAAAGUUUUUACCUGAUUAACAAAAACAUCCCAAAACAACGGUCCAACUAUUGCAGUUUGCCAGUUGUGAAUGUGUAAAACAUCAGGCUGCUUUCCAGAUUUUGCAAUGUAAUCCAAUGAAGCACGAGAGAAGUAGGCAAAUCUGAUUUUGUUAAGAGAUUGAAAAACCUCACAUAUAAACCAAACCAGUAAAACAAUGUAGAUUCAAGCUCAACUAUAUCAAAUUCAAGUACUGACCUAUCAAAAUCGUCCUGAUACCCGUAUACUUUAUCACGGCUAAACAUUGAGGAGUAAUACACUGGUUGAAUAAGUGUCACUCCUAUUCCAGAGACAACUCUGCAUAAACAAGGUUCUGCUUACAGUAAAUUGAGAAAGAAAAUGGAAUGCUUGACAGUAUUUUGCUGAUUCUUCCCUUACGAACACUGAUAGAAAUCAACUGUAUAAGAAGAAUAACUUCCAACAACUCACUCACCCAUUCCAUAUUCGGUUUGCAUGCAGCUGGCCAUUGAAAUACGAAUAUGCAUCAGCUUCAAUUUCCCGGAGCCCUUCAAUUUCAUCCAAAUCAAGUGUCGAAUAUCUAUUAAUGAAUAUGGUUUUCAUUAAUAGGAUUCUGCUUCACAAUUGAAGUUGGUGGUGAUAAUAUAAAGUAAAUAUUUUUCUAAAGGAGUUGCCUCCUACUUUGGCAAUAUAACUUCGACCAUGUAGCCCUCUCCUUGGAGUGCAGACGACAAUCCUGUUAUAUAAGAAGCCAAAGGUCCAACAGAAACCAAUGGAGCCAUUUCGGUGCAAAUAUGAAUCACAUGGAGACCAUUCCUGGAUUCAAAUGAUAAAUACAAACAUUAAAUUAUAAAUCCGAAUUAAGCUUGAAGAUAAAGAACACCAGAAUUUUCACCUUUUGCCUUUAUUUAUGAACAGUCUGAGUUCUGCUAGAAUAUCAGCAUCUCCUUGUUGCAGGACAUCGAGGGGAAACUCAGAGAUGUUUGCUUCAUGCUCCUUAACCAGUUUUCUCAAGGAUGAAGCUUCUUCAAUGUUGAUUAAACCAUUGAUCACCAUAGAAUCAAUACGGAGAAGCAACUCCCAGAAUAGUGACGACUUAUCUGCUUAUAACAUGGUAAAAGAUCAGAUUCAGGAUUCAAAAGACUAGUAUCACAAUACUCACUUGAACAUUUUUGAAUCAUGAAAACUAGAGACUAGCCGAAAAAUGAAACCUUUCUUGAUUACAAUCUGACUUUCUGCCUCCAAUUGGUUAAUCCUCUCUAGUAAUUCAUCUUUCUCAUUCUUUAGCUUCUCUAACUCCUCAACUGCAGCUAGGCGUUGCUUGUUUAAAAUAAGGAUAUCUAAAUACACAACAAAGACGUUAUAAUACAAUCGGGUAAGUUAACUUUCAGAAUAUGAAACAGAAACCAAAUAUUUUUACUUUUUUGAGCUUCUCUAAAGAGGUUCCAUAUGUCCUUAUGUUUUGCUUCUUUUGUAAUAGAAGAUAGUCCAAGAUUAUCCUGUGAAAUAAACCAGUUACAUUCUGCUAGAAUGUUAGAGAAGAUAAGCAUACUUCAAAACCAAAGAAUGGUACCUGAGAAUUAUCAAACUCUUCAUGCCCUUCUGAUCUGGAAUCAAAAAAAGAAUCCAGUUCAAUUAGAGAGAAUCAAAAUCAAAUUUUGCAGCACAAAUUUCCACAUAAACCAGAAAGAUUGAAAAAGUUUCACUCUAGAUAAGCAAUGAUUUCAUGUAAAAUGCUACUACAUCCAUAUUACUAUCAACCUCAAGAGACGAAACUCGAAAUCAACCUCAAACAGUGAAGCGCGUGAGACUUUCGAUGCCUAGGGUUCACUAUAUGGACUUUAGAGGAUGACCCGCACAGCGAUAGGUUCCAUAUCGCCGGAAGAUUCGCCGUUGCUUGCAUCGCUUGGCAAAGUUCGAAUCGUCGCCGGCAAAAUUCAGCCAAAUUUGCCGGGAACGACAAAAUAGAAAACAGCCGGUAAUAAUACAAUAAUGGACCUUUAAUAAAUAGAAACUCGAAAAAGCCCCAGAAUUAUUACCAUUCAACCCAUAUGCUAUCAUUACUUUCAAAUCUCACCCUAAAACUUCUAAAAAGACAUAUAUAAGCCACCGAAAUUAUCUGGAAACGCGGAAGUAACCCAUAUAUUAUUUUUAUUUCAAAAUAUACCCCAAUAUUGUUGGUACUUUCAAAACUCACCCCAAAAUCUUGUAGUAUACUAAACCAGAAAAACAAAACAGUUUCCAGAAACUCAACGUCGCCGACCUAAUCCUCAUAAACAUCACGAUUUGAAUUCCGAGGAAAGAUCAAACCUUUUUUCGGAUACUCAUGGCAGAGGAAGUUAAAGGUGGAUGCUUUAUACCUUACAUUCACUCCCAAACCCUAAAUUUCCACUCCCAUGCCGUCUCCUCCGUCAAAUUCUCCACCGACGGCCGUCUCUUAGCCUCCGCCUCCGGAGAUAAAACAAUCCGCACUUACGCAAUCGACAUUGCUCAAGAAGAUUCCAUCGCCAAGCCCGUUCACGAGUUUUCCGGCCACGACAACGGUGUAUCGGAUAUAGCCUUCUCCUCCGACGCGAGGUUCCUCGCCUCAGCUUCCGAUGACAAAACCCUUAAGCUAUGGGACGUUGAAACUGGUUCUGUGAUCAAAACGCUAAUCGGACACUCUAAUUACGUGUUUUGUGCUAACUUCAAUCCUCAAUCCAACAUGAUUGUCUCUGGUUCUUUUGAUGAGACUGUUCGGAUUUGGGAUGUUAAAUCUGGCAAAUGCUUGAAAGUUCUUCCUGCGCAUUCUGUUCCUGUGACUUGUGUUGAUUUCAAUCGUGACGGGUCUUUGAUUGUGUCAAGCAGCUACGAUGGGUUGUGUCGGAUUUGGGAUUCUGGAACUGGGCAUUGUGUGAAGACCUUAAUUGACGAUGAGAAUCCUCCUGUUUCCUUCGUUAAGUUCUCUCCCAAUGGCAAAUUCAUCCUCAUUGGCACACUCGACAAUAAGCUGGUGAGUGAGUUUCAAAGACUUGACCUUUACAAUGUUAAGUUAUUUUGAUUUGGGGUUGCUCUUGUUUCCGAAUUCAUAUGUAGGUGAAUUGAAUCAAAACGACAUUAGGAAGGCAUUGUGUUUCUGAUCUAGCCAUCUAGGACUUACUCUUUGACAUAGGAAAUUUUUAUAGCUUUAGAUGAAUAGUAGAAACAUUAAUGGUUUCAUUUUGGGUCGAUAGUGUCGUGUUAGAGUUUAGCUUAACUUUAAAAGAUACAUCUUUAGGUUACUUCUUACUAUUUACUCAUUAAGGCACAACAGAUGUAAAUUCUUUAAAUGAGAUGUCUUUUUGCUUGAAGAGAAGGCCCUUGAAGAAGAAGAGGAAGAAUUUUAAAGAAUCAGUCAUAGUCUUGUUUCAAGGAAGAGACAGACCAUGGCCGAGCCAAAACCGAAGCUUCAUGUUGCAGUGUUCUCAUGGUUAGCUUUUUGGAUUCUGGAAUUUUCAGGGCACAAAUUGUGGGUUGGCCUCCUGUGAGAUCCUACAGGAAGAACACAUUGGCCACCACUUGUAAGAAUAGUGAUGAAGUUGAUGGGAGACCAGGUCCUGGGGCCAUGUUCGUAAAGGUCAGUAUGGAUGGUGCUCCUUGUCUGAGGAAAGUUGACCUGAGGAGCUACGCUAACUACGGGGAGCUUUCUUCAGCCUUGGAGAAAAUGUUCACCACUCUCACUCUAGGUGAGAUGUUUCAGUGAUUGCUAGUGAUGUGUUUGCAAACCUCUUUCUCUUUAUGGAUCAAUGAAUGAGUGCAAUCAAAGUGGUUAACCUGCACUGUUUGUUUCAUGUUUAGGUCAAUGUGGAUCUAAUGGAGCUGCUGGGAAGGAUAUGCUUAGUGAGACCAAGCUUAAGGAUUUUUUAAAUGGAAAAGACUAUGUGCUCACUUAUGAGGAUAAGGAUGGGGACUGGAUGCUUGUUGGAGAUGUUCCAUGGGAGUAAGCUUCCUCUCUUAUAUUCAAAACUUGUUAGAAGCUUUCUCUACUCUCUGCCAGAUAUCUUAGAAUCAAAUCUAACAUGCUAUAGAAGAUUAGAUCAUGAUGAUUGGUAUAAGCGCUCCUGAGUGAUUUCUGAUCCGAUGUAUA
rnacentral:lncRNA from 1 species